UACGUAGGGGGCUAGCGUUGUCCGGAAUCAUUGGGCGUAAAGCGCGUGUAGGCGGCCCGGUAAGUCCGCUGUGAAAGUCGGGGGCUCAACCCUCGGAUGCCGGUGGAUACUGUCGGGCUUGAGUACGGAAGAGGCGAGUGGAAUUCCUGGUGUAGCGGUGAAAUGCGCAGAUAUCAGGAGGAACACCAAUGGCGAAGGCAGCUCGCUGGGACGUGACUGACGCUGAGACGCGAAAGCGUGGGGAGCAAACAGG
rnacentral:rRNA from 1 species